GGGGUAGUGCUGGAACUGGUAGACAGGCAUGGUUUAGGCCCAUGUGCCGCAAGGCGUGAGGGUUCGAGUCCCUCCUACCCUA
rnacentral:tRNA from 2 species